rnacentral:rRNA from 2 species
GUCGAACGAACCAUCCUGAAGAUUGAAGCUUGCUUCAUGAUUCAGACCUUGGUGAGUGGCGGACGGGUGAGUAACACGUGGGUAACCUGCCCAGAAGUGGGGGAUAACAUUUGGAAACAAGUGCUAAUACCGCAUAACAACUUAGAUCACAUGAUCUUUGUUUAAAAGAUGGUUUUGCUAUCUCUUCUGGAUGGACCCGCGGCGUAUUAGCUAGUUGGUGAGGUAAUAGCUCACCAAGGCGAUGAUACGUAGCCGACCUGAGAGGGUAAUCGGCCACAUUGGGACUGAGACACGGCCCAAACUCCUACGGGAGGCAGCAGUAGGGAAUCUUCCACAAUGGACGAAAGUCUGAUGGAGCAAUGCCGCGUGAGUGAAGAAGGUUUUCGGAUCGUAAAACUCUGUUGUUGAAGAAGAACAUAUGUGAGAGUAACUGUUCACGUACUGACGGUAUUCAACCAGAAAGCCACGGCUAACUACGUGCCAGCAGCCGCGGUAAUACGUAGGUGGCAAGCGUUGUCCGGAUUUAUUGGGCGUAAAGAGAAUGUAGGCGGUUUAUUAAGUUUGAAGUGAAAGCCCUCGGCUCAACCGAGGAAGUGCUUCGAAAACUGGUAAACUUGAGUGCAGAAGAGGAAAGUGGAACUCCAUGUGUAGCGGUGGAAUGC